GUCUUAUCAAGAGAAGCCGAGGGAAUGGCCCGAUGACGCUUCAGCAACCUCUGUUUAAAACAGAAAGGUGCUAAUUCCUACAGAAGCUCCAUUAUGCUUCUGAUAGAUAAGAG
rnacentral:ncRNA from 2 species